rnacentral:rRNA from 1 species
UGGGGAAUAUUGGACAAUGGGCGCAAGCCUGAUCCAGCCAUGCCGCGUGUGUGAAGAAGGCCUUUUGGUUGUAAAGCACCUUAAGCGAGGAGGAGGCUACUGAGAUUAAUACUCUUGGAUAGUGGACGUUACUCGCAGAAUAAGCACCGGCUAACUCUGUGCCAGCAGCCGCGGUAAUACAGAGGGUGCGAGCGUUAAUCGGAUUUACUGGGCGUAAAGCGUGCGUAGGCGGCUUCUUAAGUCGGAUGUGAAAUCCCUGAGCUUAACUUAGGAAUUGCAUUCGAUACUGGGAAGCUAGAGUAUGGGAGAGGAUGGUAGAAUUCCAGGUGUAGCGGUGAAAUGCGUAGAGAUCUGGAGGAAUACCGAUGGCGAAGGCAGCCAUCUGGCCUAAUACUGACGCUGAGGUACGAAAGCAUGGGGAGCAAACAGG